GCUACAGCUGAGCGUAUCUGCGUGCCUCGCGUUGUCCGUCACAAACUUUAAACUCCGCCAACUGGGAGUUAAAUAACAGUUACGGUAUAACAAUGUUAAUGGUGUCAUGCGGCCACUGUUCCUUCACCCGUGUCUGUUAUGUGACUAGUCGUAUAUGUGGGGGACACUUUUGCAACAAUUUGCUUAUACAUUGAGAAAAGACUAAUUAACAAUGUAAUAUUAUGGCACUUCACGGAUUAGUGUUUAGGAACAUGGUUUAAAACGUCAUCGUACGGCGUCUAAAAUGUUUUAAUAGAGUUCAGGCAGCGAUAACGGCGUGCAUGAGCUAUUUCAAAUGAAAGCCCAGAAUGCAACAUGGUAUGCAGCUGCUUGUCUCUGUCACACACCGCCUCCCCCUCUUUGGAGCUAAAUCCACUUCCACCUCCCAUUCUGACAGCUGGGAGGGAGAGACCAGGGUCCCCGAAGGCUUUGGACAAUGUCCCCCUCCUCCUCUACAUCCUGGCCCUGAAGACGCUGCUGCUGUGCUUGGCGUUCGCCGGGGCUAAGAUCUACCAAGGUAGGAAAGCCGACGCGGCGCUGAAGAAGGAGCUGGCUGAGAAGAGGAGGCUGGCCCAGCAGACGCAGGAGCUCUUGGACAACAAGAAGGACGACUGAGCAGAGCAGCGGAGCUGCCGAACCGUACCUCCACGCAUUUGUACGUGACACCGAUCGGUGCAAACUGAGAAACACAACACUGACCUGAAGAUGGGGGGCCACCAGAUGUUUCCAACACAAGGACCUUCCCGUGAAAAAUAAAAUGGCAGCAGAAACCAUGCAGUGUCGCUGAAGCUUGGCCAGGAGGAGGGACUUGUAGUUUUUAAACGGAGAUGAACUCUGUAAACAAACCACAGCAGGCUCAGCAUCUACUUGUCAUUUCACCCACUCCUUCCUGGGCAUCAUCUUCUGCCUUGUUUGUACUCCUAUCUCCACUUUUGAAUACACCUCACAUGUACAUGAGAAUAGUGGCUGGUAGUAAAGACAGCUUAUUUUUAACAAAAACAGCACGGUAUUUAUUCUGUUAUAUUCCUUGUAAAUUAUCACCUGACAUUGUGCCAACUUUUGUAAUUAUAUUAAAUGGUUUGUUCCACAGGC